rnacentral:rRNA from 1 species
CCUACGGGGGGCAGCAGUGGGGAAUAUUGCACAAUGGGCGCAAGCCUGAUGCAGCCAUGCCGCGUGUGUGAAGAAGGCCUUCGGGUUGUAAAGCACUUUCAGCGGGGAGGAAGGCGUUAAGGUUAAUAACCUUGUCGAUUGACGUUACCCGCAGAAGAAGCACCGGCUAACUCCGUGCCAGCAGCCGCGGUAAUACGGAGGGUGCAAGCGUUAAUCGGAAUUACUGGGCGUAAAGCGCACGCAGGCGGUCUGUCAAGUCGGAUGUGAAAUCCCCGGGCUCAACCUGGGAACUGCAUUCGAAACUGGCAGGCUAGAGUUUUGUAGAGGGGGGUAGAAUUCCAGGUGUAGCGGUGAAAUGCGUAGAGAUCUGGAGGAAUACCGGUGGCGAAGGCGGCCCCCUGGACAAAGACUGACGCUCAGGUGCGAAAGCGUGGGGAGCAAACAGGAUUAGAUACCCCAGUAGUC